UACGGAGGGCGCAAGCGUUGUUCGGAAUCACUGGGCGUAAAGCGCGUGUAGGCGGCCGGGCAAGUCGGAUGUGAAAUCCCGAGGCUCAACCUCGGAACUGCAUUCGAAACUGCUCGGCUCGAGUCCCGGAGAGGAUGGCGGAAUUCCCGGUGUAGGGGUGACAUCCGUAGAUAUCGGGAGGAACACCAGUGGCGAAGGCGGCCAUCUGGACGGUGACUGACGAUUAGACGCGAAAGGGUGGGGUGCAAACAGG
rnacentral:rRNA from 1 species